UACGUAGGGUGCGAGCGUUGUCCGGAAUUAUUGGGCGUAAAGAACUCGUAGGCGGUGUGUCGCGUCGGCCGUGAAAACCUGGGGCUCAACUCUGGGCGUGCGGUCGAUACGGGCAUCACUGGAGUUCGGCAGGGGAGACUGGAAUUCCUGGUGUAGCGGUGAAAUGCGCAGAUAUCGGGAAGAACACCCGUGGCGAAGGCGGCUCUCUGGGACGGUACUGACGCUGAGACGCGAAAGCGUGGGGAGCGAACAGG
rnacentral:rRNA from 1 species